ACCUACCAAAAUAUUAAAAGAAACAUAAAUUUAUUUUUUAAAAAAAAUUAUUUCUCAUAUACCCUUACGAUAUACUUUUAGCAAACAUAUUAUAACACUAUAUUAAUUGUCCAUCCUAAGAUCUUGAAUUAAUAAAAUGUGCCUGCAGUCCAUUAAAAGUUUGAAUGUUAACGUAAUCGUAACAAAUUGAUAAUUUUGCCUUCAACUCAAAUUAAGGUUAAAAGACAGAUUUGUCCCAAAAACGAAACAAGCCACUAGAGCCACCGACCACCACCGUUCAGCCAGCCAACACCACCACUAAACUCGCCGGCCUCCACUGACCAAAACCCAUCUAGCCUCUGCGUGAACCAGCCGCACUGCCGUUGUUAGAGCAACCCAAACCCGCGUGCCACCACCCUAAUUUCCACUGCCUACAGACUUCACCACCGUUGAUCGUCACUAUCGUUAUGAUCCCGAGCCACUGUCCAACAAAACCCGACCAACUGCCAUCCUUAACCACCACUAUGAACUGUCGCACAAACAAUCCUCAAAUCUGCAAGUUUUAUCCCCUCAAUCUGCCUCAAUUAUUAUUACUAAGAUUGUGCAAUAAAAAAACACAUGUUGAGAAGAUUUUGCAAUCCAGGUACUAAGCAGCACUUCUCCGAACGAUUCUUUUUCUGAGAUAGCCAUGAAAAACCCCCCAAGUCUCCAAUUUUGGCAUCUUUUUUCAAAGCCAAGAUAUAACCAGCAACACCCAAAAUAUCCAGCAACCCAUAAGCUGAAACCCACUUGAUAUGAAGCAAGAAUCCAUUUUUGAGACUCCGUAAUACAAGUGCUUUUAUGCUUUUGCCUUCUUCACAUUUCAUUGUAAUACGAAAGCAAAUUAUUGGAUAUUUGAAUUGUGGGAGAAUCAAGAUUUACGCCGUCUUUGGUAUGAAGAAAGGGGCGGAAAGGGGCGGGGAGGAAAACAGUGGAGUGAAGGAAAAGAAAGAAAAAAGAGUGGAGGUUUGAUAUAAAAUUUGAUUAGGAAUUACAAUUUUUUUUUAACAAAUAGAAAAUUAUCAUUUGUAUACUCUUAGUUUACUCUAUUAUCAAAAAUACUAUAAUACUUUGAGGGUGUAUCAAUCGACCAUCCUAAGUUGACAAAAUGUAUCAGCUGACCACCAAACUGUUAGUUGCCGUUUACGUAUGAUGACGUCAGAAGGGUAAUUUGGUCUUUUCAUAUGAUACAAGUGAUAAUUUAAAGAUAUAUAAGUGAUAAAAAGAGAAUUUAAGAGUAUACAAGUGAUAAUUUUCAAGGGUAAAAUUGUCAAUUCACUGUAACUCCGUUAAUUUUCAAACGACAACUAACGGUUUGGUGGUCGGCUGAUACAUUUUGUUAACUAAGGGUGGACGAUUGAUACACCCUCAAAGUGUUGUAGUAUUUUUGAUAACAGAGCAAAUAUAAGGUAUAUGAAUGAUAAUUUCCCUUAACAAAUUUAUCAUUUGCUUAAUAUAUGAAAUUAUCUAUAUUAGUAGGCUGCGUCUACGGUGCCCUAGUUGCACCGUACCCCCUAUUUUUGUCUUUAUAGAGAUUGUCAUUUGAUGAAAAAGAACAAGAUAGUGCAGCUGUUGAGUGGGCACGUAGCCCAAGAGACAAACAGGGGAUGUAGGUCAUGACACCGGAACUGUUUGAGUUGCAAUAAAUUUAUUUUAAGGAACAAGAAAAUGUUUAUCCAUUAUAACAAUAAACAUAUUAGUUGAAACAACUAUUUUGGCAGCAAUUAAUUUGAAAGGAACAAUAAAAUGUACAUUACAUACAAGUUUAUGUUGCAAAAGCCAAAAAUUUCGAUAUACUAAUACUGUUGUAGCUGUAAAUAAGAAGUAAUAAGAUUAUUAACACUGUAAGGUUAAUGGAAGGAAAAUCUAUCUAAGCCUGAAAGGAUACAAACUACAUCUGUUCGAAUUUAUGGUAGCUGAAAAAUCUUUCAUGAUUUGUUUUACUCCUUGAUCAUAGAAGUGGGUUGAAUUAAUUUAUAUAUUUGAAAUUAUGUGGUUGAAUAAUGAUGGCAUGGCUAGGGAUGGCAAUGGGCACCGCCCGCAGCGGGUUUGCCAUUACCAAACCCAAAUCCGCACAAAAUUUAAAUUACUAAACCCACCCGCAACCCGCAGCGGGUUUUAAUUUUUUCAAAAAAACCCACCUGCAGC
rnacentral:lncRNA from 1 species